GACGAACGCUGGCGGCGUGCUUAACACAUGCAAGUCGAACGGAAAGGCCCUGCUUUUGUGGGGUGCUCGAGUGGCGAACGGGUGAGUAACACGUGAGUAACCUGCCCUUGACUUUGGGAUAACUUCAGGAAACUGGGGCUAAUACCGGAUAGGAGCUCCUGCUGCAUGGUGGGGGUUGGAAAGUUUCGGCGGUUGGGGAUGGACUCGCGGCUUAUCAGCUUGUUGGUGGGGUAGUGGCUUACCAAGGCUUUGACGGGUAACCGGCCUGAGAGGGUGACCGGCGACAUUGGGACUGAGGUACGGACCAGACUGCAACAGGAGGCAGCAGUGGGGAAUAUUACACAAUGGGCGGGAGCCUGAUGCAGAGACGCCGCGUGUGGGAAGACGGCCUUCGGGUUGUAAAACGCUUUCGCCUGUGACGAAGCGUGAGUGACGGUAAUGGGUAAAGAAGCACCGGCUAACUACGUG
rnacentral:rRNA from 1 species